rnacentral:misc_RNA from 1 species
GAAAUGCAAUAAUUAAUGUGAAUUGCAGAAUUCAGUGAAUCAUCGAGUCUUUGAACGCACAUUGCGCCCCCUGGUAUUCCGGGGGGCAUGCCUGUCCGAGCGUCAUUGCUGCCCUCAAGCACGGCUUGUGUGUUGGGCUUCCGUCCCUGGCAACGGGGACGGGCCCAAAAGGCAGUGGCGGCACCAUGUCUGGUCCUCGAGCGUAUGGGGCUUUGUCACCCGCUCCCGUAGGUCCAGCUGGCAGCUAGCCUCGCAACCAAUCUUUUUAACCAGGUUGACCUCGGAUCAGGUAGGGAUACCCGCUGAACUUAAGC